UGUCCUGUAUGAGACAAUGAGGACUCCUUAAGAGAAAAGUUGCAAACCACAAGGAAAAAUCCUGUAGGUGGGAGAUGAGAGGGCGGGCGAUAUGCACUGGGUGGCAAUCCAUUUGAACAGCAUCGAAAGAUGAUGUGAGAAAGCCCUUCAUGCAAUGCUGCAAGCAAAAAAUGCCACAUGUACAUUUUUAAACACCUUCAGCAGACAAAUACAGCCAAUGCAUUGAGCUAAGUAGGCUCCAGCAAGUGAGCCAUAACAGUCUGCAUUGUUUCUGUGCUUGGGGAGGGGGGGAUGUGAGUGGAUUCAGAGCUGCAUGGUUGCCCUAUACUGUAAUGUACCCUACCCAGUACUGUAGCCUUUUGUGUAAAAGGAUGAGCUAAACAGUUGUUUUGCAAAGGGGGGGCCCGUUUGCACCACAGCAGCAAGUCAGAGCAGCUCCCAGGCAGCCGUGGUGGCGGUGGGCUGAGGGUGCAUUGAUGGAGGGAUGCUGUAACAGAUAGCCUCUGCUUCUGAGCUUUCAGCCUCAACCCUAUCACAUGCACACAUCUUACAGAAACUUGAAAAGCUUGACACAGAGAGAGGCGAGGGAGUGAGGCAGCACUGUCUGAGCAUAGCAUGAUGCACUGCUGCUUGUUCCAGGGAAGGGUGUGGCUGCUCUGUACAGCUGUCACCAAGAUCCUGUUCUUUACUGAAAAGAGCAACCCUGAGGUCUGGAAAAAAACCCAUCUCUAAUGCACCCCUUCAUUUUCCAAAAAGCAGGAUCCUGGUGACUUGGCGGAGUGGCUAAAUUCUGAUUGAGAAGAGGCUACCAAAAACUCACAGGCAAAACCAAUUGUUGAGAUAAACAUGGGGAAAACCCUACAAAACCAAAACAAAGAACAAUUGCUUCAAGCCUCCCAAAUUUCUAUUUAAUUCAGAAAACAAAUUAACUCUAACCUCCUAUCUGCGGUGCCUCUGCAGGGAAACCACAGUGGGAGGAGUCCCAGUUUACACACAAUCUGGAGAGAGGGAGGAAAUCCAACAAGUAAACGGGAGGAGAAGAAAACAUGCUUGAACAAUGUGCUGCACACUGGUGGGACUGUCCCUGACACCAUAGUGAUGGACGUGAUCUAGUAACAGAGACAGAUGACCCAGUGGCUGAAUGACUGAUCAUCUCCAUCGGAACACAGCAGGGAAACUUCAGGCAAUGUGUCUGUAAAGCACCGAGCACCUUCCACUCUUCCCGACCCCGCCAAUUUCCUCUGCACAAACCAUCCAUAUGGAUUUGACAUGUGGCCUCUGAGAGACCCUGCGUUGUACCUCCCAGUAAGUCAAAGCAUAUGGGGUGGAGGAGCCACGUUCCUACCUAAGCUUCUGCAAGUCCCUAAGGGUCAAGUUAAGUGCAAGCCUGAUCCUGUUGUCUGGACCAGGCUUGCCCAGUUCAUGCUUUAAGCUGCCCAGCCUCAGCAGGCUGGGUUUCCUCUCAGCUGCAGAGCUCAAAGGAGGUGGCCCCUGUCUCGCUCCAUGUGGUCCUGGGCAGCUCAGCAUCCUCACCAGAUUGGGGGCACAUCUUCAUGGCUGGCUCAUCCUCACCUGCCUGAGGGGCUUCAAGCCUUGGGGCUGGGGAAGGAGGUUGAGAAACAAGAGGGCUGCGGGACUUGAAGACUUCUCUGGAGCCAUGUAGCCCUUUCAGCAUUUCCAUGAGUUUGUUUUUCCUCUCAGACCCAGGGGCUUAUCAGCACUUCCCUGCCUCACAGGGAUGCUGGGAUGAGUAAAUCCAUUAUAAGCUGUGCAGUGCUGAGACACCAAGUCUACAGACACACAAAUUAAUAAGAGAGGCCAAGGAAUGUUUUCCACCCCCAAGACCCAUUGGCAUGCCCAGCCAUCCCCAAAGGGAUGUGGUCCUGUCCCCCCAGAGCAGGAGAGCUGUGCCCAAACCACCUGCUGAGAACCAGACUAGCUCCUGAAAUAUGCCUGGGCAUUGGCAGCAAACUCAUGCAAGGGCAAUGCCAACCAUUUAAUUGCAUGGGCAACUGCCUGGGCCUGUGCCUUGCCUCUACUUUAUUAAUUUAUUAGUACCUUGCUGCUAGCUUACACUCGCACAGACAGAGAGCUUGCCAUUAGCAAGGGCAAUAAAGUGCCUGUGAGAGAAAAGUCCAAAGUGUUUUACUGCUUUCAAAAUAAAAAGGUGCUUUCUCCUCUGGGGUUCCAUCUCUUUUGUCCUGGUCACUGUGGAGCUGGGUUUGGUUGAUUC